UACGUAGGUCCCGAGCGUUGUCCGGAUUUAUUGGGCGUAAAGCGAGCGCAGGUGGUUUAUUAAGUCUGGUGUAAAAGGCAGUGGCUCAACCAUUGUAUGCAUUGGAAACUGGUAGACUUGAGUGCAGGAGAGGAGAGUGGAAUUCCAUGUGUAGCGGUGAAAUGCGUAGAUAUAUGGAGGAACACCGGUGGCGAAAGCGGCUCUCUGGCCUGUAACUGACACUGAGGCUCGAAAGCGUGGGGAGC
rnacentral:rRNA from 2 species